rnacentral:tRNA from 1 species
UAGGGCUUUAUCUUAAUUUAAAGAACUUAAUUUGCAUUUAAGAUAUGUAGGUUGGUAUCCUGCAAGUCCU